AAAAGUAACCCGCGUGAGGCUAAAGAUGAAGCAAAACAUCGUGAUAAGCAGGAGGUGCAUAUGCAAAGAAAAAAAACGUAACGCCUGACGAAGAGUGCCACGUGGAUGUAGUUGAUAACUCACCGACCCGCGCGUCACAGAGAAAUAACUCGGAAAUUUUUCAUUUCGUUCGGAGAAUGGCGACAGUCUACUCUCUUCGUCCUUAUGUCUUGUCUCUCCUAUUAAAACCCUAGAAUUAGAUUGAUUCAAAUUCAAUUAUCUCAAAUAGCAUGUCUUAUUGAGUCUGUCUCAUCAUUCUAUUUUCUUCCUUUUCUUAUCUAUUACCUGAUCGGUUGGAUUUUUCUUGGUCUUCAAUCGAAGGUUUGAUUUUUAACUUCCAACUUUCAGUUUUUUCUGUCGAUCAAAUUACACUUCAUCGAUGAUUGACCUUUUGAUCGGAGAUAUUAAAUAAAGAUUGUACCUUUGGUUGUUUUUACUGGAAUUGGUUUUGUGUUUGUGCCUUGUGGCUUUGUUUGAUUAAAGAUUUGAAAUCAUCGUUGAUCGGAGUGGUAAAUUCGAGUUUGUAUGGAAUUGAUUGAAUUGAUGACGAAUUUAAGUGAAAAGUUUGAACUUUUGAAGUUGAAAGCCUUAAAGAUUGCAACUUUGAGUGUUUU
rnacentral:lncRNA from 1 species